AGAGUUUGAUCCUGGCUCAGAUUGAACGCUGGCGGCAUGCCUUACACAUGCAAGUCGAACGGUAACAGGUCUUCGGAUGCUGACGAGUGGCGAACGGGUGAGUAAUACAUCGGAACGUGCCCGAUCGUGGGGGAUAACGGAGCGAAAGCUUUGCUAAUACCGCAUACGAUCUACGGAUGAAAGCAGGGGACCGCAAGGCCUUGCGCGGACGGAGCGGCCGAUGGCAGAUUAGGUAGUUGGUGGGAUAAAAGCUUACCAAGCCGACGAUCUGUAGCUGGUCUGAGAGGACGACCAGCCACACUGGGACUGAGACACGGCCCAGACUCCUACGGGAGGCAGCAGUGGGGAAUUUUGGACAAUGGGCGAAAGCCUGAUCCAGC
rnacentral:rRNA from 1 species